CGCAGUUGAACUGAAUCUCACUUAUUUUAAGUUGAAUUAAAUGUUGGUUUAUACGGCCUUAGCAGACUUUUUUUUUAUUAGUCUAACCUGAAGAGGGGGGAAAAAAGCACUUUGUGUUUUAAAUGCUCCAGCUCUUAACACCUGCACUUCUGUGAGUCCACAUCCAACUGACUGAAGUUCAUGCAGCACUGAAUGUGUAUUAUUUUCCAGCAGGCAGUCGUCACACUGGACAAACGCAGCCUCUGCAGGAGGAGAAUAAUGAAGCACAUUGUUUACUCCGAGAGGACUGAGCAGAUCUGUCACAGCAGCAACAGGCUGCCUGACUCUGUCCCCCAGGAGGGUGAUUCGGUUUAGGAAGGAAAGAAACCAGGGGGAGGCCGACCCAUGGGCAGCACACUGAGAGAAAGGGAGAAAGAUGUUAUCGCCUAUCAAGCAUGUCUAUAUGAGCCAACCAGCUGCUGCUGUUAUUCCAACUUUAUCAAGCGCAGGUGCUGCAGGAUGUCUCCCGGUCACACACAAAGGAAAUAAAAAAGAAAGCACAAGAAGAUUUUCUGAGAAAACAGCAGAGAUGUUGGCGAGGGGGGCUGCGCAUGGCCUUCGGC